rnacentral:tRNA from 1 species
GCUGGUGUAAUUUCGCACAGGUAAAUUUGAGUUACAAAGAGGAAGUAGAACUCCGCUCUCAAAGCCCUGU